UUCUGGCCGGGCUUUCCUAAGGUAUCUAAUAACCUUGCUUCUACUUGCCGCUGGCGCACCUCUCCUAACUAUUGCCCAUUUAUUCUGGAAUAAUAUUUUUAGGAGGGACAAUUUGACAUAUUUCUACCAAAUCCUUCUAUUAUUAAGUACGGCUGGUACCAUUUCGAUGUGUUUCAAUUCUUUCGAACAAGAGAGGUUUGAUGCUUUUGAAUUCAUUGUAUUAACUCCACUUCCUACUCGCAUCAUUCUCUUUAUGAUCUAGGCUCAUGAUUCAAUUUCCAUGUAUUUAGCUAUUGAGCCUUAAAGUUUAUGUUUUUAUGUGAUGGCAGCAUCCAAAAGGAAGUUUGAAUUUUCCACGGAAGCCGGCUCAAAAUAUUUGAUCUUAGGUGCAUUUUCCUCUGGAAUCUUACUGUUUGGGUAUGACCAGACAACUAUCGAUAUCUAAAAAUCCCCUUUCUGAGAAUAUUGGUUGUGAUAUUGAUCUUACGGGGGGAAUGAAAUCAAAGUACAUAUAUACAAGGUCAAACCCUCCAUCUAGUUGACGAGAUAGGGCGAUCGAUCUACUUGUCCAUAGCUCUGGGCUAGUGUCUCGAUCUCCUACGUGUGAAAUCAGAGGGACUAGUUCCUAUGGAGAUUCCCCUUGGUCUAAUUCCACGCCUUAUGAUGAAAGGGCCGUCAACGUGGUGUAAAGUGAAGAUUGAGGGAAGUAGAGCAAAAUUCCCUUUAGGGGUAUUCCGAAGGUGUAAUCUAGGCAAUGAAAAAGGGGCCCGAUACUGAAACUAGAGAAGCGAAGACACUCGGCUGUAAAGGAGAGGAGCGAAGACGCUUUACCUUGUUCAAUCAGUCCAGGAUGGAAGAUGAAAACACCUAUUUAUUCUUUAUAGAAGUAAAUAAAUAGGAGAGAAGCAGCGAGACUGUAAAGGAGAGGACAGUUGGUUCACCAAACCUCGACCCAGCGUCCUAGGUUCUCCAGGUCCGAAGGGAUCCAGUGCCAAACUACCGACUCCUCCCAGAAUUGCAUUAUCGGAGCCGAGCCAGGAAUGGCCGUUAGUGGACACCCACCACUUUUCACCUGUUAGAGAGGCCCUCUUUAAUACAUUACGAAAAGAUGUUCACAGGGGUCAGAAAGACUCGGUCAUAGGAACUUAGACCACCUACACGCUGGUAAACGGAAACCACCUCGACCGGAUCAGAGUAAACAAGAAUGUCGAUCAGGCCCCUUGCCUUGAAAGAGAAUUCACACGCAGCCACCAGCUUUCCCAAAAUCAGGGGAGAUCCACUGCUUACUGUUCACGGAAA